AGUGGUUUCAGGCCAGCCUGAGGGACAACACGGCCCAGGCAGACGCCUCCAGGCGUGAGCUGCAAAGGCUGCAGAGCCAGAGGGACUCCUGUCAGCUGGAGGUCACAGCUCUGCAGGAGGAACUGGACACCCUGCAGAGGAGCAGGACUGUCCUGCAAGAGGGAGGAGAGACCAGGAGGCUGAGUGGCAGUGUGUCUGUGCUGGAGAGGGAGGCGAUGGACCGACUGCUGGAGAAUGCCAAAUCCGCCCUGUUCACAGAACAGCGGCGCUUCAGACACACUCUCGACUCCAUGUCCGAAGUAUGCCACUCACUCAAGGAGCUUCCAC
rnacentral:lncRNA from 1 species